rnacentral:tRNA from 1 species
GUACGUCUAGCUCAGUCGGUAGAGCGCAAUGCUCUUAAUUUUGUGGUGCUAGGUUCGAGCCCCACGGUGGGCG